UCUUCAAGAACUCGCCCAAUCAAAAGAUCAUCGUCGUCUUCCUUUUCUCGACCUCCCUCCUUCCUUCCUCCACUGUUGAUCCUGCAAUGGCGACUCCUUUGAAGAAACUGCAGCGUUCCGGAUCUCGGGUGUCUGAUGUCCUGAAGGUUUCCGAGAAUUCUGAUCCUAACGUCCCCUUUUCAUCUCCUCUUUCUUCUCAGAAAUCGGUGACAUCAACGGCGAUUAGGUCAGCCCAAUCGAAUAAAUCCGCCUCCAGAACCUCCGGCCGGAUCGUCGCUCCGCCUCCUCGGCCGGAGCCAGCAAGGAAGUUCAUCGUCGCCAAGAAGGACUCGAGGAGGGUAGGGAACGGGUUGGAUUCCGAGAGAUGCCGAAAAGAAGCCUAUGAGGCCCUUCGAGCGUCGCAGGAGGAGUUUUUCAGGAAAGGUUGUCCUUCCAUAGUCGUCGCUGUCGCAAAACCUGCAAUCGGCGAUGUUGACGGAUCUAUAGAUAGAACUGAGAAGGGUGGAAUGGACGGGAUGAGGGAGAUCUUGGAUACUGAUAUUGAAAAUCCAUUGUACGGAGCAGAGGAUAAAAAUACGAGAAACUUGGUGAUGGAGGAGGCUAUGAACAUAAUACCGGAACCUGAGUCUGGCCGCGUGAAGAAUUUGGUCAAAGCAUUCGAGAGCUUCCUUUCAAUUUCAAAUGACGAUGAAGCUGAGAAAUGCGUGUAUAGGAACCUGAAUCCGUUGGAUUGUCCAUUGUUAGGAUUGCAGCAAUCAUCCAAGACUGUGGCUGCUGAAAGUUCUUCUGCUUAUGUUUUCUCUUCUGCAGAGUUUUUACCUCCUAGAGAACUUCCAAGAGACUCAAAAUUGUGCUCUUUGAUAGAUAGCAGCGAUCAAAGGUUGAGCUUGGGGAGAAGGACUUGCAAUGAAGGAAGAAAAAAACGUAUUAGUUCUGAUUCUCUUAGGAGCUGGAAUAAGAUGUUAAAAGUGACAAGCCAACAUCCUUUCAAGCUUAGGACGGAGCAAAGAGGAAGGAUUAAGGAAGAACAAUUUAUCAAGAAUGUGAAAGAAAUGUUGAUGAAAGAAGAGAAACAGCGCAUACCUAUUGCCCAAGGUCUUCCAUGGACCACAGAUGAACCAGAGAAGCCUCCCGCCAAAGAAAGCACUAAACCUUUAGACAUUGUUUUGCACAGUGAUGUUCGUGCGGUAGAAAGGGUUGAGUUUGAUAAUUUUGUAGCCAAACGGAUGAACUUUGCUGAACAGCUAAGAUUAAAAAGGGAGAUGCAGCAGAAGGAAUGUUUAUCUGUCUCCUCUGUGACUUGCUUUCUAAUAUUCAAGUCAAUUCAUGUUUUGUUAAUACACUUAAAUUAUUCUUGCAGUUGGAGGAAGAAGAAGAAAUACGGAGGCUCAGAAGAGAACUUGUGCCUAAAGCUCAGCCAAUGCCAUACUUUGAUCGGCCCUUUGUCCCUAAAAGGUCAAUGAAACCACAAACAAUCCCAAAGGAGCCAAGAUUCCAUAUCCGCCCAAGAAAAUAUUCAUGCUCUUGUGCUUGCCUAUUUGAAUGCCGAGGACACUGAUUGGUCUGUUGAUUCCUUGAGAGCCAGAAAUACAUACGUUGUUUCAUCCUUAUCUUUCAAUGUUACCGGUUCCUUCCAUAGGAGAUUGGGUCGCAGUUAAUUGUGAAGAAGUCCUUGAAGGGUGCCUAAUUGUGACUUUACUUUAACACUGUAUAUAGCAAUUACCUACAUCUUAAAUAGCACUGAAUUCCCCCCAAAAGUUUUAUGCUUUUUCUUUUAGAACCAGAGAAAAGGUCGAUCCUUGGAAAAUUUUCCGAGUUAACCUGAAAAGAAGGGAAAUUUAACAUUUCAAUUUCCUAAUCUUUCUUCUACCAUUUCCCUGUAAGAAGAAGCACUAUUUUGUUGCACCCAGGAUUUGUUGGUUCCAAUCGUGUUCAAUGAUACAAAAUGAGCACAAAAGUAAACGAAGUUGGGACUUCCAUCUUCCCUGUGUUUCUGUAUUCUAAUUUUU